AAUUAUUUAUUUGAUGGUUCCUUACUACUUGGAUAACUGUGGUAAUUCUAGAGCUAAUACAUGCGUAAAAUCCCGACUCUCGCGGGGAGGGAUGUAUUUAUUAGAUAAAAAACCAAUGCGGGCUUGCCCGGUUUUGUGGUGAAUCAUAGUAACUUUUCGAAUCGCACGGCUUCAUGCUGGCGAUAGUUCAUUCAAAUUUCUGCCCUAUCAGCUUUCGACGGUAGUGUAGUGAACUACCGUGGCGUUAACGGGUGACGGAGAAUUAGGGUUCGAUUCCGGAGAGGGAGCCUGAGAAACGGCUACCACA
rnacentral:rRNA from 1 species